AGUUAUUAAUGCCCUCCUCUAUUAAAAAGCUACACAGAUGUACUGCCCAUUUGACACUGUCAUGCAACAGUUGCCUUAAAAAAACCUGAGGAGAUAUACUUUUUUUAAAAUUCUUAAUUUUUCUCUUGUUAAUUGAUGUUUAUAUCGUUAUGAUGACAGGUCUGAAAACCCUGAACACCCCUGCCGUCACCUAUACAGUUACUUGGGGUGGCUGUGGCUCCGAGGCAGAGCGGGUCGUUCCUUAAUCGGAAGGUUGUGGGUUCGAUCCCCGGCUCCUGGUGCCACAUGUCGAAGUAUCCUUGAGCAAGAUACUGAACCCCAAAUUGCUCCCGAUGCCGUGCAUUGGUGUGUGAAUGUGUAUGAAUGAGUUAGUUUCUGUUCGAUGGACUUUGCCGUGAAUGUGUGUGAAAGGGUGAAUGUGGCAAGUAGUGUAAAAGCGCUUUGAGUGGUCGGAAGACUAGAAAGGCGCUAUACAAGUACAGGUCCAUUUACCAUUUACCAUCCAUUGUCAGUUUCAGAUCUUUUCCCCAUGUCUUCUUAAGAGCUGAUAAGGCCCCAUUACCCAGAUUCUGUAUCAUUAUGGAAUGAUACACUGAAGCCUCAUGACUUUUCCCAUAGCUCAUUAGUACUUUAUCUUAUUACUCUGCAGUACUGGGAGCUGGUGCACUAUAUCCAAAGGGUUCUCUGGUAGCAUAUGGCAGGGUUGCAGAUAUUGCAUAGGAAUUGAGAGAGAAUUCCACAUUGUUGUACACAGUACUCAAAAGAAUUAAAUAUACCAUGCAGAGGUGUAAAUGGGGCAAGUGCAGAUUGUGCAAUACAAUACCAGACAGGCUCUUUCAGGAGGAAGUGACCAGUUGUCUUAAAACCAUAGUAGUAAAACAACAUCUUGGGUUAAAAAAGGUGCCUCUUUCAACAUCACGAGAUUUUAUGUAACAAUGGAUCAGAAUGAAGUUAAACCAGGUCUUUCAUCUGAGGGGGGAAUAGGACUUUACUUGGGCCACUAAAAUGCACCUGGUUAAAGGACUGUAAAAGCACAAUAAGCUGUUAAAGGGAGUGCUUCUGACUUGAACCCGUUUACCCUAUAACCUAAGAAUUUUGAAAAAGAAUUAAUUAUGUGCCCUGGUAGAACAGGUGCCCCGCGUACAAAGCUGAGUCUUUGCUGCAGCAGCAGUGAGUGACCUGUGGCGCUUAGCUGCAUGUCAUCCCCUUUUUUUCGCUCUCCCCCUUUCCUGUUUACUUUAGUCAUCGCUUUCCAUUUAAAAAGAGGCAAUAAAAGUCCUAAAAAUAUCCCACAUGCAAUGAAAAGUCAGUCUCGCCUUAUGGCAGCUGCCAGAGCACUGGUUCUCAAACUGGUGGGACAUAGAACCACAGCAGGUGAAGCGUGGAUGACGAGGUGACAGGUCUGCUGUAAUGUAAAACAUUCUAAAAUUAGUCUAAAUUUUGUAGUAUGAAAUAUAAAUGAUCCUGGCCAUUUAAAUUUAUGCAAAAACCAUGAGAACCAUGCAGCAUUUAGUGCCAUUAUAUAUAAUGACUCUAUAAUUAUUAAUAUAAUUAUAAUUAUAUGGAAGUUUUAUAUACAAUUCUGAGCAUUUUUUUUAAUGGUUUCAAAAUUUUUCGAAGUGAAUGAUGGAUAUUAUAUUGAUUAGUUCAAGUUGUCUUGCCUUGUAGUACCUAAUAAUGUUGAUAUAGAAGUAGAAGUACAAAUAUAUCAUGAUGCAUACACAGAACCCAAUAAUAAUAAUAAUAACACUAAUAUCAGUGAUAUUAGCAAUGGCAGUCAAGCAGGACCAUGGCAGGAGGCUCCACCAGGAUCCAUGAGAACCUGCAAGACGAGAAAGCACAAGAACUCCGGGGAGAAAGUGAAGUUAGUAACAUGCAUUAAUGGGACAUGAAUGAGUGCAGAAAGAGAGAAAGAGGAAGAGAGGAGCUCAGUGCAUCCUGGGAAAUCCCCCGUGUUAAUUCUGUUAUGAAUUGGCGCUAUACAAAUAAAAUUGAAUUGAGUCAAGCAGGACCAUGGCAGGAGGCUCCUGAGUUUAACAUCAGAAAAUUGCAGCUCAUCCAGGUUUUUAUGUCCUUAAGACAUGUUUAUAAUUUAGAUAACUGGUUAAUAUCGUUGGGCUUGAUCGAUAGAUAUAACUGUGUAUCAUCUGCAUAACAAUGAAAGUUAAUGGAGUGUUUCCUAAUAAUGUUGCCUAAGGGAAGCAUAUAUAAAGUGAAUAGACUUGGUCCAAGUACAGAACCUUGUGGAACUCCAUGACUAACUGUAGUAUUUAUGGCAGAUUCAUCGUUAACAGGUACAAACUGAGAACGAUCUGAUAAGUAUGACCUAAACCAGCUUAGUGCGGUUCCUUUAAUGCCAAUUUGAUGCUCAAGUCUCUGUAAAGGGAUAUUAUAGUCAAUGGUGUUAAAUGCAGCAGUAGGUGGUCCUUUGUAGGGUGUAGAAUGUGCAAUGUGUAGAACCUGUUUUGCCCCCUGGCAUUAUAGCUGACUGAUUUUAGUCUAAAUAGCCCCAUAGAAAAGCAGCUUGUUUUCAUCUUAGAAAUACACCCAAACUCAGGGACUUCAUGUCAAAUGCAGACCUGAGACGUGGCUCCCCAAAAAGACCAUCAAAAACUUCAGCUUAUUCAAAAGACAGUUCAUAAAGAAAACUCCAACUCCCACCUUUUAUAGCCACCAUGUAAUUAUUUAAAAUGCAUUACAUAUUGAGUUUCGAUUGUUUAUUACAAAAUCUGGCAGAUUGUUACAAAAUGCAGUUGUUAUUACACAAUGAGGUGAAAAUGUAUCACAUUUUGUUGAGUUAUUACACAAUGGGAUGUUACAGCAAGACUUUUUAAGUUUUCAGUUCAAUUUUAUUUGUAUAGCGCCAGUUCAUAACAAAAGUUAUCUCAGGACACUUUUCAAAUAGAACAGGUCUAGACUGUACUCUAAAAUGUCUACUGAAGCUCAAUAACCUUUAUGCUCGCUUUGACAGGGAGAACCAGGAGGCCGCAAUCAACACCAUCAUCAAGUUUGCAGACAACACAACAGUGCCUCAUCAGUGACAACGAUUCUGGAGAACUUCUACUGCUGCACCAUCGAGAGCAUUCUUACCAACAGCAUUAUAGUCUGGUAUGGAAACUGCUCUGCCUCAGUCCGGAAAACUCUGCACUGGUUCACCUCUCCCCACCAUUGAGGCUGUCCAGAGCAAGCAGUGUCUGCGGAGGCCGAGGGCAUGCAGCAUUGUUAGGGGCACCUCCCACACAGGACACGGACUCUUUGCCCUCUACCCCUCUGUGAAGCGGUACAGGUCUCUCCGUUCCCGAACUAGCAGGCUCAGGAACAGCUUUUUGCCAUCAGCUUUCAAACUCUGCACCGAGGAGAUCCCCCUUCCCCUGAAUGACUGAACUCCCACUCCACCCCACCCUCCACGGACUAAACUCUUUUUCUUCCCAUAUUCCUUGGCACUGACCCCCUCUCCACUAUACCACCACACUACUCCACACUACUGCACUUACCUGGACUAUUUAAGCCCAUAAUUACACAUAACGUGUGUAUAACGUAUAUAUCUAUAGUGCAUUCACUUGCAUCUGUCUAUACUGUACUCUACCUAUAGUGUAUUAAUAUCUAGCUGUCUGUAUAUAAACCAAUUUAAUUACUGGUACUGGCCUGCGCACUAUAUAUUUACUGCUAAUACUGUUCAUACUGUAAAAAUCUCAACUUAAAAAAUCCUUUUCUAUCUGACCAUUAUUUAAUAACUUUUGAAUUCCUAUUACUAGAUUACAAGCUAUUAGGCAAAACGUCCUACAGCAGAUGUCUAUCUGACAGUGCUGUAGCUAAAUUCAAGGAGGAGAUUCCAUCAGUGUUUUAUUCAAUGCCAUGUCUGAAUAUACAAUAUAUAGAGUCCUAUCAUAACUUUAGUCCUUCCCAAAUAGAUAUCUUGUUAAUAGUGCUGCAGGCUCACUGCGAACAACAUUAGAUUCUUUCACCCCUAUAAAAAGGAAAACAUUAAAACAUAGGAGGCUAGCACCGUGGUACAAUCAUGAAAAAUUCUUGUACUUGGUAAUGGUCAAUGGUAAAUGGAUCUGUACUUGUAUAGUGCCUUCCUGUGUUUGCAGCGUUUUGCUGUUUGCGAUGUGUUUGCCCUUGUCUGCCACCGUAGUAUUAUGACCCCACUUGAACACUGUGCUCUCUGAAUGCAGGGCUACUUGUGGUUCCUAUAGUCUCCAAAAGUAGAACAGAUACUAUUAUUACUAUAAUCACUGCUCAUUGUCCCCCAUCGUUGUUGUCGUCAUCAUCUUCUUCAUGUUCAUCAUCAUCAUCAGUCAUUUCUAUUAUAACACAUUCAUACACAUUCACAGCAAUUUGCCUAUUCAGUAUCUUGCCAAAGGAUACUUCGACAUUUGGCAGGAGGAGCUGGGAUCAAACCAACAACCUUCCGAUUAGGGGAUGACCCGCUCUGCCUCUGCACCACAGCCACUCUGUACUUGGCCCCAAACACCUCAGAGACUCACUGUCUAAAGAUAUAGUUACUCUAGAUGGUAUUACCUUGGCCUCUAGCACCACUGUCAGGAAUCUUGGAGUUAUCUUUGAUCAGGAUUUGUCAUUUAAUUCCCAUAUAAAGCAAACCUCUAGGACUGCCUUUUUUCAUUUACGCAAUAUUACAAAAGUUAGACACAUCCUGUCACAGACGGAUGCAGAAAAACUAAUCCAUGCAUUUGUUACUUCUAGGCUGGAUAACUGCAAUUCCUUACUAUCAGGUUGCCCCAAUAAGUCCAUUAAGACGCUUCAAUUAAUCCAGAACGCUGCAGCACGAGUACUGACAGGAACUAGGAAAAGAGAUCAUAUCUCUCCUGUACUAGCGUCUCCGCACUGGAUCCCUGUAAAAUUCAGAAUAUAAUUUAAAAUCUUCAUUCUCACCUACAAAGCUCUACAUGAUCAGGCCCCUUCAUAUCUUAAAGAGCUCAUAGUACCCCAUUGCCCCACUAGAACACUACGUUCUCUGAAUGCUGGGCUACUUGUGGUUCCUAUAGUCUCUAAGAGUAGAACAGGAGCCAGAGCCUUCAGUUACCAAGCUCCUCUCCUGUGGAACCAGCUUCCAGUUGUGGUUCGGGAGGCAGACACCCUCUCCACAUUCAAGAGUAGGCUUAAGACAUUCCUCUUUGAUAAAGCUUAUAGUUAGGGCUGGAUCAGGUAAGUCCUGAACCAUCUAUCUAUUAUUGUUAUUAUUAUUAUUACUACAGAUACUAUAAUUACUAUAAUCAAUGCUCAUUGUCCCCCAUUGUUGUUGUUGUCGUCGUCACCAUCUUCUUCAUGUUCAUCAUUAUCAUCAUCAUCAUCAUCAUCAUCAUCAGUCACUGCUAUUAGUGUAGUUGUUACUGUGCAGCUUUGUCUCUGUCUCUGUCCUUUUGUCGUUACCUCUGUUCGCUCUCUCUUUCUGUCUCUCUGUCUCUCUCUGUCUUUCUCUCUCUCUCUCUCUCUCUCUCUCUCUCUCUCUCUCUCACCCCAACUGGUCGAGGCAGACAACCACGCACCUAGAGCCUGGGUCUGUCCGAGGUUCCUGCCUCUUAAAAGAAAGUUUUUCUUUGCUGCCGUCACCAAGUGCUUGGUGGAAACUGUUGGGUCUCUGUAAAUAAUGUUAUAUAUGUUGUUGUUAUUUUAUUAUUUAGUGAUGAAUAAUAGGCUGCUGUAGCAUAAUGGAGGGCCUUUAUAUGUUUUAAGACUAUCUUACUAGAUUGGUGAUGAAGAAUGGGAUUAUUCCAGCUCGGUACAAUGCCAUUUCCUUUCAAAUUUCUGCGCUUUUUGCUUUAAUUACCACAGUGCUAGCCUCCUUUUAAACUCAAACGGGCUGGGAGCAGGACUGACUCGAUGUUGUUUAUGUUAUAAAGAGUUCAGUCUAGACCUGCUUUAUUUGAAAAGUGUCCUGAGAUAACUUGUUAUGAAUUGGUGCUAUACAAAUAAAAUUGAAUUGAAUUGAAUUGUUAA